UCCACUAGAUUGGCUGAAAACUGUGGA
rnacentral:piRNA from 1 species